rnacentral:tRNA from 1 species
GGUGAUGUAGCUCAAUGGUAGAGCAUUUAUCUAGCAUAUGCAAGGCCCUGGGUUCAAUCCCUAGAACCACAA